rnacentral:rRNA from 2 species
UUUCACUUGUUGGUGGGGUAAUGGCCUACCAAGGCGACGACGGGUAGCCGGCCUGAGAGGGCGACCGGCCACACUGGGACUGAGACACGGCCCAGACUCCUACGGGAGGCAGCAGUGGGGAAUAUUGCACAAUGGGCGAAAGCCUGAUGCAGCGACGCCGCGUGAGGGAUGACGGCCUUCGGGUUGUAAACCUCUUUCAGCAGGGAAGAAGCGAAAGUGACGGUACCUGCAGAAGAAGCGCCGGCUAACUACGUGCCAGCAGCCGCGGUAAUACGUAGGGCGCAAGCGUUGUCCGGAAUUAUUGGGCGUAAAGAGCUCGUAGGCGGCUUGUCACGUCGGAUGUGAAAGCCCGAGGCUUAACCUCGGGUCUGCAUUCGAUACGGGCUAGCUAGAGUGUGGUAGGGGAGAUCGGAAUUCCUGGUGUAGCGGUGAAAUGCGCAGAUAUCAGGAGGAACACCGGUGGCGAAGGCGGAUCUCUGGGCCAUUACUGACGCUGAGGAGCGAAAGCGUGGGGAGCGAACAGGAUUAGAUACCCUGGUAGUCCACGCCGUAAACGUUGGGAACUAGGUGUUGGCGACAUCCACGUCGUCGUGCCGAGCACGCAGGUUCGC